AAGCUGACUCUGCCAAGUAAAUAUUCUAGCCUCAGACAAAGGAGCCUCAGUUCCAGCUUCCACUUUCCUUCCUUGCUGCGCCUCUUCAGGGCGUGGAGGUAAUUUCAAUGCUACUAAUCUUGCAGAAACUACUCUGACAGAGUCACUUCAGAUGGUUUAAAAAGGUAACUCCUCUCCAUUUUUUCAAUGCCACCGCCACCCCGCCAGAUCACAGCGCAGGUGUAGCAGGACGGUAACCUUGGAGAGACCGUGCCCUUCCCCUCUUGGCCUUGGAGUCUCCAGAGCCACCGCUGCCCUGCGCCCCUCAGGCGACACCCACACCCGGCAGCCCCGCGCCACGCCGCCGUCCAGGAGGAUUUGUCAGCGCGCCCUAUAUAGCUGCAGACAGCUGCCAUCUGUUAUGUUUAGUAACACCACCCCGCGCCCCCUCCUCUGUGAACAAGCCGGCCUUGGUCAUUCCGCCAAGAAGACAGUUUUAAAGGACGCUCAGUUGCAAGCAGGCUUCCCACAGCGUCCUUUCUCUCUCGGCCUCUUGGGUGCUCCCAGAGCGGGGGUGCACCCCGGCCUACGGGCAGGUGCUUACAGGAACAGACACAACGCUCCUCCCUUCCCUCCGUGGGCUCACUGGAGAGAAAAAUCUGUGAUGUGUGCACCAUUUUAAUGCAUCGCAUUUCAGUUCUGCAAAUGCGAAGUGUAAAUUGGGCUACAAUACGACGGUGAAUCAGACCGGCCGUCAUGAUUAAUUUAUCACCGUGUUCCAGAUACAUCAGCUAAAAUAAUGUGCAUUUAAAGCAUCGCUUCCUCCUGCCUUUGUGCUUGCUGGCAAACGGGAAGGGCAGA